UACGGAGGGGGCUAGCGUUGUUCGGAAUUACUGGGCGUAAAGCGCACGUAGGCGGCUCGAUCAGUCAGGGGUGAAAUCCCAGGGCUCAACCCUGGAACUGCCUUUGAUACUGUCGAUCUGGAGUAUGGAAGAGGUGAGUGGAAUUCCGAGUGUAGAGGUGGAAUUCGUAGAUAUUCGGAGGAACACCAGUGGCGAAGGCGGCUCACUGGUCCAUUACUGACGCUGAGGUGCGAAAGCGUGGGGAGCAAACGGG
rnacentral:rRNA from 1 species